CUUCGGGUUGCGCUGUAACUUUACCUUUAGGAAAUGGAGACCUUAGGUGUUAAGCUGGAUGGUACCAAUGAGGAUACCUACAACUGAGUGAAGAGAUUAUGAUAGAGCAUAUGGAGGAUGUACAAGAAUCAGCUCUGGCAUGACACCAUUGCUUCAAGGUCACACUGGAAGUGAUGUCAUCAUCAACUGGAGCUCAUGCAUGUGUUCAG